rnacentral:rRNA from 1 species
CACGUAGGGGGCAAGCGUUGUCCGGAUUUAUUGGGCGUAAAGAGCUCGUAGGCGGUCUGUUGCGUCUGCUGUGAAAACCCGGGGCUUAACCCCUGGCUUGCAGUGGAUACGGACAGACUAGAGGUAGGUAGGGGAGAAUGGAAUUCCCGGUGUAGCGGUGAAAUGCGCAGAUAUCGGGAGGAACACCGGUGGCGAAGGCGGUUCUCUGGGCCUUACCUGACGCUGAGGAGCGAAAGCGUGGGGAGCGAACAGG